AGAACAUGUCGUGGCAAUGAGCUUGCACAGGCAAGCCGACUGCAGGUUGUGAAACCUUUCAUCACUUUUACAUCAUGCUGAGAUAGAAAUGGCUUGCUCAAUGGUACAGCGACUGGGUUGUCGUCUUGUCUACAGGACAAAAAUCAUGGUCGAGCCGAAGUUUUCCCCUGCAGUGUCUG
rnacentral:misc_RNA from 1 species